rnacentral:tRNA from 1 species
GAUAGGGUGGCUGAUCAUAGGCGGUAAACUGUAAAUUUAUUUAUGAAUUUUGAAUUCUCCUAUU